UACAGAGGUCUCAAGCGUUGUUCGGAUUCAUUGGGCGUAAAGGGUGCGUAGGCGGCGGGGUAAGUCGGAUGUGAAAUCCCGGGGCUCAACCCCGGAACUGCAUUCGAUACUGCCUUGCUAGAGUACUGGAGAGGAGACUGGAAUUUACGGUGUAGCAGUGAAAUGCGUAGAUAUCGUAAGGAAGACCAGUGGCGAAGGCGAGUCUCUGGACAGUUACUGACGCUGAGGCACGAAGGCCAGGGGAGCAAACGGG
rnacentral:rRNA from 1 species